GAUGAAGAACGUAGCGAAAUGCGAUAAGUAGUGUGAAUUGCAGAAGUACCGUGAAUCAUCGAAUCUUGAACGCAAAUUGCACUCUCUGGUAUUCCGGGGAGUAUGCCUGUUUGAGGGUCGCUUAACAAACCAUCGAUUUCGUUGCUUUUUUUUUAAAAAAGUGAUGUUUAUCGGAUUUGAGCCGUCUUUUUUUUUUUAUAUUUAAGUGGCUUAAAAUUGAUUUUUUUUGGUACGAUCGAAGCGUAUUUUUAUGAUCAAUUUUUGGUUAAAGAAACGCACACGUACCGUUAUUUAUAUGAUGUAAUACGUUUGACUAUCGGAUUUAGUUCAUUCGUAUACGAUAUUUUUCAAUAUUUGACCUCAAAUCAGGUAAGAACACCCGCUGAACUUAAGCAUAUCAAUAAGCGGAGGA
rnacentral:misc_RNA from 1 species